GGUUAAGCGACUAAGCGUACACGGUGGAUGCCCUGGCAGUCAGAGGCGAUGAAGGACGUGCUAAUCUGCGAAAAGCGUCGGUAAGGUGAUAUGAACCGUUAUAGCCGGCGAUGUCCGAAUGGGGAAACCCAGUGC
rnacentral:rRNA from 1 species